UAUUUUUAUACAUUGGAACAACCCGGAUUAACUAUGAUAAUUUAAGGCCAAGAUUAUUCCGGGAUUUGAAGUCGGGACUUUUGACCAUUUGAUUUUAAUUUGAGAUAUAAGUCAUGUAUGAAAUUGAUGGCAUUGAACACUUAGGGAAAAUUGGGACUACAAUUCAUAAAAUUGGAACUAAAAUGUUGUUCAAAAAAAAAAAUUCCUUGGUGGCCAUGUAAAUGGGAAUUGGUCCCACACAUUGUGUGGCCAAUUUUAAUUGGUCCACCCCAUGUGUGGGCCAUGGACACUUGGACAAUAUUCAUAUAAGCACAAAAGAUGACCAAGUAGUCAUCUUUUCUACCAUUCCAUCAAAAAAAAAAAAAAGAGCAAGAAGUUGAAGAACAACUUCAACCACACGGCCAAGAACAAAAAAAAAAACAAAUCCAAUUCAAGCCAUCCCAAAAUUAUUUCUUUGGUGUAAACCCACUAUUUUGAGGUCCCUAAGUAGUGUGGAAGUGUUGUUGGGGCGAUCAAAUCAUCCGUUUGGCAAGAUCACAAACCCUAACUAUUUGUGGGAUUGAAGAAGAAAGACUUUGGGGAGCCCGAGGCGUAGAUUUGGAUUAGCUUUAGAUUGAUUCGCUUGGAGUGCGUACGAGGUACAGACGCACAGCCUGGUGAUCCACCUGUUUAGGACACCCUUUCUACUAUUCGGAGUGCUCCUCUCUUUCCGGAGCUUAUACUUUUGGUAUAUAUAUUUAUUAGUGCAUUUGUAUAUAUUCGUUCAUGGGUACGGCGGGGCCCUGUCCCGUCAUAUGAUUCUGUCGGUCUGUUUAGAGGUCUGUGGACAUGUUUGUGGGUUAGGGUCUUUCUGUAUGAAUGUAUGUACAUGUCGUUUGGGCGAUCACAUACGCCGAGGCGGCCGGUCCGCAUAUGUUGUUUGGGCGACCCUAUACGCCGAGGCGGCCGGUCCGCAUAUGUUUAUAUAUUGCUUGGUUAGCCCUGUGUGGCUUUCGUUGGUA